UGCACUCUGAGAGGCAUUCAGGCCUCCUUCUCCCUCCUUUUUGAAACACAAUCACCUAUAUUCAUGCACACUCUUGUGUUAGGGCUCGAAUGCUAGCAGCAGAUGUGUGAUCAGGUGAUUGGUCUCAGAAAUAAAGCAAUCUGAAUGAGGACAGGACUUCCCAAGAGCGAGUGACGGUGUCGUUCAGGGACGAGCUGUGCCAUGCUGUAGCUUUCCGCUGCCUUAAUAUCCUGCAUGGCGAAGCUGACCAAAUCUCAGGACUCUGCCAUCAAAAUCAAAUGCGUUUACUUUGUUCAAAGAAUCAGAAACUGCAUGAAAAUACCCAGUGGCAGGAGACUGAAGAAAUACCAGAGUAGGACCAUAAGGAGUGUUGCGGUAAAUGUGAAGAAACUGAAACCCCUAUGCACAGCUGGGAAAUGUAAAAUGAGUCAGAUUCCUUGUAGCUUCAUAGGCUCAGAAGAAAUGUGACUGUGAAGGUGAUUGAUCCAGCAGGCACUCCCCAACGUAUCCUGAAUACUAAGUAACCACAGCAGCUGGGAGGCAGAACAAGUCAUUCUGCAAAAUGAGCUGCCUCCUAUCAAAGGGGGAAAGACAAGAGAGGAUCCAAAACUGCCUCAAAGCUUCAUCCGGGGGCUGCUGUUUUUAGGGAGUAUUGAAGUGUGCUGAUGAUUUCCCAAGAUGAGUCAGAACUCCCUACAUCAUCAUCUCAUUCCCCUGAGAACUUGGAGACCGUCUUAGCUGACAGCCUACCUCUUCCUCCACUUCUUCCCUCUCCUUCCACAAAUCUGGAUCAGACCCAAGGAUGUGGAGUACUGUUUGAUUUUUAAGAAUGAUAUCCUGUCCUCUGCUA